ACACUCACCGACCGCGUGGAAACCAUAGCAACCGCGCGACACUUUACAGCGGCCUGGCCACUUCACUUCACGGCGGCUUCCGUCACGUGACGGUGCUGCUGCUGCCGCCGCCGCCACGAUGGUGCCACGCAAUCAAUAAGGAUCGAAAACGGAGCCCAAGAUGUGUACUCACACAACCGAAGGGAAGUGCAAAGGAUAGAACCUUGGUAAAGGGAUUUGUGAGCGCACAACUGGUGAUUGCACAUGUUAUGGGGAGGUAGGCAGUAGUUCUGGUAAACACACUGGGCUUGUUCUCAACUGUGCAGCCAAUGGGUCCGAAACUGACCACUCCAUGGACUUCCCACUUGUGUGAGCCAAGCUGACAGAGAAGAGGACCACCAGAGUCUCCCUGAAACACAAGAUACGGUGACAUUAAUCAGUUGCUGAUUAGUCUAAAGGAUCCCAUGUUGUAAAAGCAUCGAGCUGUCUCAUCUUAACUCGUGUGUUAUAAGGUUCCCCGCCUUGAUGGACAGAAGACCACAUCUUUGAUCUCCUCACCUGUUGAAUCAAUUUGAUCUAAUUGAGGGCUGUUUGGCAUGACACAUUCGAUUUUAACUUGGAAACAAACCUGAGGACCCAGCAGCUUCUGCUGCUGUCAGCCUGUGUUAUAAACACAGCAGGGCUCAACAAUAUUUGCAACAUGGGAUUGUGAUUUAAUCACUCACGACAGGGAAUCAACAAUUCAAGCUGCUGAUUAAUUUUGUAUGAUGCUGAACAUAGGAACAUAGAAAAUAGGAGCAAGAGUAGGUCAUUAGGUCCCUUGAGCCUGCUUCACCAUUCAACUAGAUCAUGGCAGAUCUUUUAUGUCAAUGUCAUUUUCCCACAUUGUCCCCAUAUUCCUUGAUAUCAGAAGUCUACUUUUACUCUGUUUUUACACCAAGCUUGUCCAUUGUUAUAGGCCCCCAGGGCAGGUUCCAAAAAAGGCUCCCAACGUGAGAUAUUUGAGAAUCUCAUUGGGGGAGGUUUCCCAUUGCCUUCACCGACUCUUUAGAGAGUCGAUGGACACCCAGACCCAGCAGACAUGAGCAACAUUGCAAGGCUGUUUGCCAAAUAUUGAAGAGCUGGUGCACUAUUCACCCCGCGGCUGCCUGAAGGAAGUCCAAAACCUUCUCCUUUUGACUCAAGAGGGAAUACUGGCAACAGAGCCACUGGUCAGAUUAACUGAAGUGGAAACGUUUAAUGAGUAUGUUACAUAAUAGUAUAAUAAAAUGCGGUUAUCCCAUGUUAAACAUUUUAUGUAAAGUUUUAGCCUACCCGAGGCUUGAACUCUCAUCACUACCUCUUGUUCUUCAGGUACCAUGCUUUGCCAAGGUAUCGGUGACCACAGACUUCUGUGAUUGGUCCAUGCCAUCAGGCAUAUUGGAAAGAUUUACAGGCUGAUAAUCAACCUGUUUGGCUACAUUUUGAAUGCACUUUCCAUGGCCAUCAAGUCCUGAUGGGGACUUGAAUCCAGAGCUUCUAGCCCAGAGGUAGGGAUGCUACCACUGCUUCACAGGACCUCCAAGCCCAUCAAUAUAUUGUCACAACCAUAAAUCAUCAUCCCGAAUUACUUAUGGACAUAUUGAUCUUUUAAGUAAGAUAUGCGUUUUUUUAAAAAAAGGGUCAUACAAGCAAAAGCUGGCUGAAAUUGUAAAGUAAUCAUUUGUUGGAAAAUUCCUAUGUGGAUUACACUUGACCAACUAGUCUAGAGAACAGAAUGUCGCACCUAAAAAGGUGUCAAGGCCUACCUCAGACCGAGACACUUCAAAGGAAAAGAUGCAAUACAAAAGCUGAACUGUAAUCUCCUGUGGUUGUGGAGAUAAUGAAGGUUGAUUAUCAUCUCAGCAGAAACCAUCUCCUGUGAGUUAUAUUCCAGACUAUGGACAUGAUAUGAGUUGAAAAGAAGGCAGAUUUGGGCAAAAGACAAAAGAAAAGCCAACUGCAAUCCUAGUUGUAUGUGCUAGUUUUGGUGUUCCAGGCCUGGUGUGCAAGGGUGUGCUGUGAAGGCCACAGCUGAAGAACAUCAACUAGCAAUCCCUGCACUUGCAGGUAAAAAGGUCCUCUUUCUCUGAUUGCUGGAAGCAAGACAUAAGUCAGCAAAGCCACAGUCAAAAAGGAAACAGGACAACUUCUUUCAGCUAACUUGCAGAACCAAGAAUCCCCAAACCAAUUGUUCAACUGCCCAAAGUCAGCUCUACCAGAAUCGUCCAAAUUAACGGCCGCAACAUUUCGUCAUCUACUGCUCAUGGACCAGCCAAAGACUGAUUCGCAUUUUUUUUAACUUUUAUUUCUGGACUCACUUCUCAUUUCUAAUCUGUGUGCUGCAUUUUUAUUAUUUUUUUUCUCACGUUUUAGUAACUAAU